rnacentral:lncRNA from 1 species
GGUGGGCUAUAGCCUUGGGGGGUGGGGCUGGCCAUCUUCGUCCGCCGGACUCAAAAUGCGGCGACACUUUGCGAGGGGCCUCCGUGUGCCAAAAAUAGGCCGCGGACAAAGCCGCGCCCAAAAAUAACCGCCCGAAGGCCAGGGCGCCAAGUUCGUCCAGCGGAAAAAGGCCACAAAAACGGGUGGGCUAUAGCCUUGGGGGGUGGGGCAAGCCGACUUCGUCCGCCGGACUCAGAAUGCCGCGAGACUUUGUAAGGGGCCUCCGUGUGCCAAAAAUAGGCCGCGGGCAAUGCCGCGCCCAAAAAUAACCGCCCGAAGGCCGUGCCGCCAAGUUCGUCCAGCGGAAAAAAGCCACAAAAACGGGUGGGCUAUAUCCUUGGGGGGUGGGGCAAGCCGACUACGUCCGCCGGACUCAGAAUGCCGCGAGACUUUGUAAGGGGCCUCCGUGUGCCAAAAAUAGGCCGCGGACAAAGCCGCGCCCAAAAAUAACCGCCCGAAGGCCAGGGCGCCAAGUUCGUCCAGCGGAAAAAGGCCACAAAAACGGGUGGGCUAUAGCCUUGGGGGGUGGGGCAAGCCGACUUCGUCCGCCGGACUCAGAAUGCCGCGAGACUUUGUAAGGGGCCUCCGUGUGCAAAAAAUAGGCCGCGGGCAAAGCCGCGCCCAAAAAUAACCGCCCGAAGGCCGGGGCGCCAAGUUCGUCCAGCGGAAAAAGGCCACAAAAACGGGUGGGCUAUAUCCUUGGGGGGUGGGGCAAGCCGACUUCGUCCGCCGGACUCAGAAUGCCGCGAGACUUUGUAAGGGGCCUCCGUGUGCCAAAAAUAGGCCGCGGGCAAAGCCGCGCCCAAAAAUAACCGCCCGAAGUCCGGGGCGCCAAGUUCGUCCAGCGGAAAAAAGCCACAAAAACGGGUGGGCUAUAGCCUUGGGGGGUGGGGCUGGCCAACUUCGUCCGCCGAACUCAGAAUGCCGCGAGACUUUGCGAGGGGCCUCCUUGUACCAAAAAAUAAGCCGCGGGCAAAGCCGCGCCCAAAAAAAACCGCUCGAAGGCCGGGGAGCCAAGUNNNNNNNNNNNNNNNNNNNNNNNNNNNNNNNNNNNNNNNNNNNNNNNNNNNNNNNNNNNNNNNNNNNNNNNNNNNNNNNNNNNNNNNNNNNNNNNNNNNNNNNNNNNNNNNNNNNNNNNNNNNNNNNNNNNNNNNNNNNNNNNNNNNNNNNNNNNNNNNNNNNNNNNNNNNNNNNNNNNNNNNNNNNNNNNNNNNNNNNNNNNNNNNNNNNNNNNNNNNNNNNNNNNNNNNNNNNNNNNNNNNNNNNNNNNNNNNNNNNNNNNNNNNNNNNNNNNNNNNNNNNNNNNNNNNNNNNNNNNNNNNNNNNNNNNNNNNNNNNNNNNNNNNNNNNNNNNNNNNNNNNNNNNNNNNNNNNNNNNNNNNNNNNNNNNNNNNNNNNNNNNNNNNNNNNNNNNNNNNAUAGCCUUGGGGGGUGGGUCUGGCCACUUCGUCCGCCGGACUCGGAAUGCCGCGAGACUUUGCGAGGGGCGUCCGUGUGCCAAAAAUAGGCCGCGGGCAAAGGCGCGCCCAAAAUAACCGCCCGAAGGCCGGGGCGCCAAGUUCGUCCGGUGGAAAAAGGCCACAAAAACGGGUGGGCUAUAGCCUUGGGGGGUGGGGCUGGCCAUCUUCGUCCGCCGGACUCGGAAUGCGGUGAGACUUUGCGAGGGAACUCCGUGUGCCAUAAAUAAUCCAUGGGCAAAGCCGCGCCUAAAAAUAACCACCCGAAGGCCGGGGCACCAAGUUCGUCCAGCGGUAAAAGGCCACAAAAACGGGUGGGCUAUAGCCUUGGGGGGUGGGGCUGGCCAACUUCGUCCGCCGGACUCAAAAUGCGGCGACACAUUGCGAGGGGCCUCCGUGUGCCAAAAAUAGGCCGCGGGCAAAGGCGCGCCCAAAAUAACCGCCCGAAGGCCGGGGCGCCAAGUUCGUCCGGCGGAAAAAGGCCACAAAAACGGGUGGGCUAUAGCCUUGGGGGGUGGGGCUGGCCAUCUUCGUCCGCCGGACUCGGAAUGCGGUGAGACUUUGCGAGGGAACUCCGUGUGCCAUAAAUAAUCCAUGGGCAAAGCCGCGCCCAAAAAUAACCGCCCGAAGGCCGGGGCGCCAAGUUCGGCCAGCGGAAAAAGGCCACAAACACGUGUGGGCUAUAGCCUUGGGCGGUGGGGCAACCCGCCUUCGUCCGCCGGACUCAGAAUGCCGCGAGACUUUGUAAGGGGCCUCCGUGUGCCAAAAAUAGGCCGCGGGCAAAGCCGCGUCCAAAAAUAACCCCCCGAAGUCCGGGGCGCCAAGUUCGUCCAGCGGAAAAAGGCCACAAAAACGGGUGGGCUAUAGCCUUGGGGGUUGGGGCUGGCCAACUUCGUCCGCCGGACUCAGAAUGCCGCGAGACUUUGCGAGGGGCCUCCUUGUGCCAAAAAUAGGCCGCGGACAAGGCCGCGCCCAAAAAUAACCGCCCGAAGGCCGGGGCGCCAAGUUCGUCCAGCGGAAAAAGGCCACAAAAACGGGUGGGCUAUAGCCUUGGGGGGUGGGGCUGGCCCACUUCGUCCGCCGGACUCGGAAUGCCACGAGACUUUGCGAGGGGCCUUUGUGUGCCAAAAAUAGGCCGUGGACAAAGCCGCGCCCAAAAAUAACCGCCCGACAGCCGGGGCGCCAAGUUCGUCCAGCGGAAAAAGGCCACAAAGACGGGUGGGCUAUAGCCUUGGGGGUUGGGGCUGGCCAACUUCGUCCGCCGGACUCAGAAUGCCGCGAGACUUUGCGAGGGGCCUCCUUGUGCCAAAAAUAGGCCGCGGACAAGGCCGCGCCCAAAAAUAACCGCCCGAAGGCCGGGGCGCCAAGUUCGUCCAGCGGAAAAAGGCCACAAAAACGGGUGGGCUAUAGCCUUGGGGGGUGGGGCUGGCCCACUUCGUCCGCCGGACUCGGAAUGCCACGAGACUUUGCGAGGGGCCUUUGUGUGCCAAAAAUAGGCCGUGGACAAAGCCGCGCCCAAAAAUAACCGCCCGACAGCCGGGGCGCCAAGUUCGUCCAGCGGAAAAAGGCCACAAAGACGGGUGGCUAUAGCCUUGGGGGGUGGGGCUGGCCCACUUCGUCCGCCGGACUCGGAAUGGCGCGAGACUUUGCGAGGUGACUCCAUGUGCCAAAAAUAGGCAGUGGACACUGCCGCGCCCAAAAAUAACCGCCCGAAGGCCGGGGCGCCAGGAUCGUCCAGCGGAAAAAGGCCACAAAAACGGGUGGGCUAUAGCCUUCGGGGGUGGGGCUGGCCAACUUCGUCCGCCGGACUAGGAAUGGUACGAGAGUUUGCGAGUCGCCUCCGUGUGCCAAAAAUAGGCUGCGGGCACAGACGCGCCCAAAAAUAACCGCCCGAAGGCCGGGGCGCCAAGUUCGUCCAGCGGAAAAAGGCCACAAAAACGGGUGGUCUAUAGCCUUGGGCGGUGGGGCUGGCCAACUUCGUCCGCCGGACUCGGAAUGCCGCGAGACUUUGCGAGGGGCCUCCGUGUACCAAAAAUAGGCCACGGGCAAGGCCGCGCCCAAAAAUAACCAACCAAAGGCCGGGGCGCCAAGUUCGUCCAGCGGAAAAAGGCCACAAAAACGGGUGGGCUAUAGGCUUGGCGGCUGGGGCUGGCCAACUUCGUCCGCCGGACUCGGAAUGGCGCGAGACUUUGCGAGGUGACUCUGUUUGCCAAAAAUAGGCCGUGGACACUGCCGCGCCCAAAAAUAACCGCCCGAAGGCCGGGGCGCCAGGAUCGUCCAGCGGAAAAAGGCCACAAAAACGGGUGGGCUAUAGCCUUCGGGGGUGGGGCUGGCCAACUUCGUCCGCCGGACUAGGAAUGGUGCGAGAUUUUGCGAGUCGCCUCCGUGUGCCAAAAAUAGGCUGCGGGCACAGACGCCCCCAAAAAUAACCGCCCGAAGGCCGGGGCGCCAAGUUCGUCCAGCCGAAAAAGGCCACAAAAACGGGUGGGCGAUAGCCUUGGGGGGUGGGGCUGGCCAACUUCGUCCGCCGGACACGAAAUGCCGCGAGGCUUUCCGAGGGGCCUCCGUGUGCCAAAUAUAGGCUGUGGGUCAAGCCGCGCCAAAAAAUAACAGCCCGAACGCCGGGGCGCCAAGUUCGUCCAGCGGAAAAAGGCCACAAAAACGGGUGGGCUAUAGCCUUGGGGGGUGGGGCGGGCCGACUUCGUCUGCCGGAUUCGGAAUGCUGCGAGACUUUGCGAGGGGCCUCCGUGUGCCAAAAAUCGGCCACGGGCAAAGCCGCGUCCAAAAAUAACCGCCCGAAGGCUGGGGCUCCAAGUUCGUCCAGCGGAAAAAGGCCACAAAAACGGGUGGGCUAUAGCCUUGGGGGGUGGGGCUGGCCAACUUCGUCCGCCGGACUCGGAAUGGUGUGAGACUUUGCAGCGGCCUCCGUGUGCCAAAAAUAGGUCGCGGGCACAGCCGCGCCCGAAAUUAACCGCCCGAAGGCCGGGGCGCCAAGUUCGUCCAGCGGAAAAAGGCCACAAAAACGGGUGGGCUAUAGCCUUGGGGGGUGGGGCUGGCCAACUUCGUCCGCCGGACUCGGAAUGCCGCGAGACUUUGCGAGGGGCCUCCGUGUGCCAAAAAUAGGCCGAGGGCAAAGCCGCGCCCGAAAAUAACCGCCCGAAGGCCAGGGCGCCAAGUUCGUCCUGCGGUAAAAGGCCACAAAAACGGGUGGGCUAUAGCCUUGGGGAGUGGGGCUGGCCAAAUUCAUCCGCCGGACUCAGAAUGCCGCGAGACUUUGAGAGGCGCCUCCAUGUGCCAAAAAUCGGCCGCGGGAAAAGCCGCGCCCAAAAAUAACCGCCCGAAGGCCGGGGCGCCAAGUUCGUCCUGCUGAAAAAGGCCACAAAAACAGGUGGGCUAUAGCCUUGGGGGGUGGGGUUGGCCCACUUCGUCCACCAGACUCGGAAUGCCGCGAGACUUUGCGAGGGGCCUCCGUGUGCGAAAAAUAGGCCGCGGGCAAAGCUGCGCUGAAAACUAACCACCCGAAGGCCGGGGCGCCAAGUUUGUCCUGCGGAAAAUGGCCACAAAAACGGGUGGGCUAUACCCUUGGGGGGUGGGGCUGGCCGACUUCGUCCGCCGGAUUCGGAAUGCCGCGAGACUUUGGGAGGGGCCUCCGUGUGCCAAAAAUUGGCAGCGGGCUAAGCCGCGCCCAAAAAUAACUGCCCGAAGGCGGGGGUGCCAAGUUAUUCCAGCGGAAAAAGGCCACAAAAACGGGUGGGCUAUACCCUUGCGGGGUGGGGCUGGCCAACUUCGUCGGCCGGACUCGGAAUGCCGCGAGACUUUGCGAGGGGCCUCCAUGUGCCAAAAAUAGGUCGCGGGUAAAGCCGCUCCCAAACAUAACCGCCCGAAGUCCUGGGCGCCAAGUUCGUCAAGCGGAAAAUGGCCACAAAAACGGGUGGGCUAUAGCCUUGGGGGGUGGGGCUGGCCCACUUCGUCCGCCGGACUCGGAAUGCCGCGAGACUUUGCGAGGGGCCUCCUUGUGCCAAAAAUAGACCGCGGGCAAAGCCGCGCCCAAAAAUAACCGCCCGAAGGCCGGGGCGCCAAGUUCGUCCAGCGGAAAAAGGCCACAAAAAUGGGUGGGCUAUAGCCUUGGGGGGUUGGGCUGGCCAACUUCGUCCGCCGGACUUGGAAUGCCGCGAGACUUUGCGAGGGGCCUCCGUGUGCCAAAAAUAGACCGCGGACAAAGCCGCGCCGAAAAAUAACCGCCCAAAGGCCGGGGCGCCAAGUUCGUCCAGCGGAAAAAGGCCACAAAAACGGGUGGGCUAUAGCCUUGGGGGGUGGGGCUGGCCAACUUCGUCCGCCGGACUCGGAAUGCCUCGAGACUUUGCAAGGGGCCUCCGUGUGCCAAAAAUAGGCCACGGACAAAGCCGCGCCCAAAAAUAACAGCCCGAAGGCCGGGGCGCCAAGUUCGUCCAGCGGAAAAAGGCCACAAAAUCGGGUGGGCUAUAGCUUUGGGGGGUGGGGCAUGCCAACUUCGUCCGCCGGACUCGGACUGCCGUGACACUUUACGAGGGGCCUCCGUGUGCCAAAAAUAGGCCGCGGGCAAAGCCGCGCCCAAAAAUAACCGCCCGAAGGCCGGGGCGCCAAGUUCGUCCAGCGGAAAAAGGCCACAAAAACGGGUGGGCUAUAGCCUUGGGUGGUGGGGCUGGCCAACUUCGUCCGCCGGACUCGGAAUGCCGCGAGAAUUUGUGAGGGGCCUCCGUGUACAAAAAAUAGGCCGCGGGCAAAGCCACGCCCAAAAAUAACCGCCCGAAGGCUGGGGCGCCCAGUUCGUCCAGCGGAAAAAGGCCACAGAAACGGGUUGGCUAUAGCCGUGAGGGGUGGGGCAGGCCAACUUCGUCCGCCGGACUCGGAAUGCCGCGAGACUUUGCGAGGGGCCUCCGUGGGCAAAAAAUAGGCCGCAGGAAAAGCCGCCCCCAAAAAUAACCGCCCGAAGGCCGGGGCGCCCAGUUCGUCCAGCGGAAAAAGGCCACAAAAACGGGUGGGCUAUAGCCUUGGGGGGUGGCGCAGGCCGACUUCGUCCGCCGGACUCGGAAUGCAGCGAGACUUUGCGAGGGGCCUCCGUGUGCCAAAAAUAGGCCGCGGACAAAGCCGUGCCCAAAAAUAACAGUCCGAAGGCCGGGGCGCCAAGUUCGUCCAGCGGAAAAAGGCCACAAAAACGGGUGGGCUAUAGCCCUGGGGGGUGGUGCUGGCCCACUUCGUCCGCCGGACUCGCAAUGCCGUGAGAAUUUGCGAGGGGCCUCCAUGGGCAAAAAAUAGGCCGCGGGCAAUGCCGCGCCCAAAAAUAACCGCCCGAAGGCCGGGGCGCCCAGUUCGUCCAGCGGAAAAAGGCCACAAAAACGGGUGGGCUAUAGCCUUGGGGGGUGGGGAAGGCCAACUUCGUCCGCCGGACUCGGAAUGCCGCGAGACUUUACGAGGGGCCUCCGUGUUCCAAAAAUAGGCCACGGGCAAACCCGCGCCCAUAAAUAACCGCCCGAAGGCCGGGGCGCCAAGUUCGUCCAGCGGAAAAAGGCCACAAAAACGGGUGGGCUAUAGCCUUGGGGGGUGGGGCUGGCCAACUUCGUCCGCUGGACUCGCAAUGCCGCGAGAAUUUGAGAGGGGCCUCCGUGUGCAAAAAAUAGGCCGUGGGCAAAGCCGCGCCCAAAAAUAACCUCCCGAAGGCCGGGGCGCCAAGUUCGUCCAGCGGAAAAAGGCAACAAAAACGGGUGGGUUAUAGCCUUGGGGGGUGGGGCUGGCCAACUUCGAUCGCCGGACUCGGAAUGGCGCGAGACUUUGUGAAGCGCCUCCGUGUGCCAAAAAUAGGACGCGGGCACAGCCGCGCCCAAAAAUAACCGCCCGAAGGCCGGGGUGCCAUGUUCGUCAAGCGGAAAAAGCCCACAAAAACGGAUGGGCUAUAGCCUUGGGGGGUGGGGCUGGACAACUUCGUCCGCCGGACUCGGAAUGCCACGAGACUUUGCGAGGGGCCUCCGUGUGCCAAAAAUAGGCCGCGGGCAAGGCCGCCCCCAAAAAUAACCGCCCGAAGGCCGGGGCGCCAAGUUCGUCCAGCGGAAAAAGGCAACAAAAACGGGUGGGCUAUAGCCUUGGGGGGUGGGGCUGGCCAACUUCGUCCGCCGGACUCGGAAUGCCGCAAGCCUUUGCGAGGGGCCUCCGUGUGCCAAAAAUAGGCCAUGGGCCAAGCCGCGCCCAAAAAAAACCGCCUGAAGGCCGGGGCGCCAAGUUCGUCCAGCGGAAAAAGGCCACAAAAACGGGUGGGCUAUAGCCUUGGGGGGUGGCGCAGGCCGACUUCGUCCGCCGGACUCGGAAUGGCGCGAGACUUUGCAAGGCACCUUCGCAUGCUAAAAAUAGGCCUCGGGCACAGCCGCGCCCAAAAAUAACCGCCCGAAGGCCGGGGUGCCAUGUUCGUCCAGCGGAAAAAGCCCACAAAAACGGGUGGGCUAUAGCCUUGGGGGGUGGGGCUGGCCAACUUCGUCCGCCGGACUCGGAAUUGCGCGAGACCUUGCGAGGGGCCUCCGUGUGCCAAAAAUAGUCCGCGGGUAAAGCCGCUCCCAAAAAUAACUCGACGGAGGCCGGGGCGCCAAGUUCGUCCAGCGGAAAAAGGCCACAAAAACGGGUGGGCUAUAACCUUGGGGGGUGGGGCUGGUCAACUUCGUCCGCCGGACUCGGAAUUGCGCGAGACUUGCUGAGGCACCUCCGUGUGCCAAAAAUAGGCUACGGGCACAGCCGCACCCAAAAAUAACCGCCGUAAGGCAGGGGCGCCAAGUUCGUCCAGCGGAAAAAGCCCACAAAAACGGGUGGGCUAUAGCCUUGGGGGGUGGGGCUGGCCAACUUCGUCCGCCGGACUCGGAAUUGCGCGAGACCUUGCGAGGCGCCUCCGUGUGCCAAAAAUAGGCCGCAGGCACAGCCACGCCCAAAAAUAACCGCCCGAAGGCCGGGGUGCCAUGUUCGUCCAGCGGAAAAAGGCCACAAAAACGGGUGGGCUAUAACCUUGGGGGGUGGGGCUGGUCAACUUCGUCCGCCGGACUCGGAAUGGCGUGAGACUUUGCGAGGCGCCUCCGUGUGCCAAAAAUAGGCCGCAUGCACCGCCACGCCCAAAAAUAACUGCCCGAAGGCUGGGGUGCCAUGUUCGUCCAGCGGAAAAAGGCCACAAAAACGGGUGGGCUAUAACCUUGGGGGGUGGGGCUGGUCAACUUCGUCCGCCGGACUCGGAAUUGCGCGAGACCUUAAGAGGCGCCUCCGUGUGCCAAAAAUAGGCCGCGGGCACAGCCGCGCCCAAAAAUAACCGCCCGAAGGCCGGGGCGCCAAGUUCGUCCAGCGGAAAAAGGCCACAAAAACGGGUGGGCUAUAGCCUUGGGGGGUGGGGCUGGCCAACUUCGUUCGCCGGACUCGGAAUGGCGCGAGACUUUGCGAGGCGCCUCCGUGUGCCAAAAAUAGGCCGCAUGCACAGCCGCGCCCAAAAAUAACCGCCCGAAGGCCGGGGCGCCAAGUUCGUCCAGCGGAAAAAGCCCACAAAAAUGGGUGGGCAAUAGCCUUGAGGGGUGGGGCUGGCCAACUUCGUCCGUCGGACUCAGAAUGGCGCGAGACUUUGCGAGGCACCUCCGUGUGCCAAAAAUAGGCCGCAGACACAGCCGUGCCCAAAAAUAACCGCCCGAAGGCCGGGGCGCCAAGUUCAUCCAGCGGAAAAAGUCCACAAAAACGGAUGGGCUAU